rnacentral:rRNA from 1 species
GAUUUCCGUAGGUGAACCUGCGGAGGGAUCAUUACACAAAUAUGAAGGCGGGCUGGAACCUCUCGGGGUUACAGCCUUGCUGAAUUAUUCACCCUUGUCUUUUGCGUACUUCUUGUUUCCUUGGUGGGUUCGCCCACCACUAGGACAAACAUAAACCUUUUGUAAUUGCAAUCAGCGUCAGUAACAAAUUAAUAAUUACAACUUUCAACAACGGAUCUCUUGGUUCUGGCAUCGAUGAAGAACGCAGCGAAAUGCGAUAAGUAGUGUGAAUUGCAGAAUUCAGUGAAUCAUCGAAUCUUUGAACGCACAUUGCGCCCUUUGGUAUUCCAAAGGGCAUGCCUGUUCGAGCGUCAUUUGUACCCUCAAGCUUUGCUUGGUGUUGGGCGUCUUGUCUCUAGCUUUGCUGGAGACUCGCCUUAAAGUAAUUGGCAGCCGGCCUACUGGUUUCGGAGCGCAGCACAAGUCGCACUCUCUAUCAGCAAAGGUCUAGCAUCCAUUAAGCCUUUUUUUCAACUUUUGACCUCGGAUCAGGUAGGGAUACCCGCUGAACUUAGGCAUAUCAAUAAGCGGAGGAAAAGAAACCAACCAAUC